rnacentral:rRNA from 1 species
GACGAACGCUGGCGGCGUGCUUAACACAUGCAAGUCGAACGGAAAGGCCCUGCUUUUGUGGGGUGCUCGAGUGGCGAACGGGUGAGUAACACGUGAGUAACCUGCCCUUGACUUUGGGAUAACUUCAGGAAACUGGGGCUAAUACCGGAUAGGAGCUCCUGCUGCAUGGUGGGGGUUGGAAAGUUUCGGCGGUUGGGGAUGGACUCGCGUCUUAUCAGCUUGUUGGUGGGGUAGUGGCUUACCAAGGCUUUGACGGGUAGCCGGCCUGAGAGGGUGACCGGCCACAUUGGGACUGAGAUACGGCCAAGACUCCUACGGGAGGCAGCAGUGGGGAAUAUUGCACAAUGGGCGGAAGCCUGAUGCAGCAACGCCGCGUGCGGGAUGACGGCCUUCGGGUUGUAAACCGCUUUCGCCUGUGACGAAGCGUGAGUGACGGUAAUGGGUAAAGAAGCACCGGCUAACUACGUG